rnacentral:rRNA from 1 species
AGCAGUCGCCGCGGUAAUACAGAGGGUGCAAGCGUUAAUCGGAAUUACUGGGCGUAAAGCGUGCGCAGGCGGUUGUGUAAGACAGGUGUGAAAUCCCUGAGCUUAACUUAGGAAUUGCAUUCGAUACUGGGAAGCUAGAGUAUGGGAGAGGAUGGUAGAAUUCCAGGUGUAGCGGUGAAAUGCGUAGAGAUCUGGAGGAAUACCGAUGGCGAAGGCAGCCAUCUGGCCUAAUACUGACGCUGAGGUACGAAAGCAUGGGGAGCAAACAGGAUUAGAUACCCCAGUAGUCCCUGUCUCUUAUAC